CUCCAGAUGUUGCUGAACUACAACUCCCAUGAUUCUAUACAUGAAAUAGAUACAUUGAGAAUCAUGGGAGUUGUAGUUCAGCAACAUCUGGAG